AGUGCGACGCGUACGUCAACCCGUGCCUCAACAAUGGCGUCUGCAUCAACGUCGACGGCAACUUCACGUGCGUCUGCGCCGACGGCUACAGCGGUGACUUCUGCGCGAUCGGCGGCGGCGUCGUCGGCCCGACUAUCUCUCUCAGCACCGGCGCGCUGGCUGCCGUGCUCGUCUGCAUAUUCCUAUUGCUUCUGCUAUACUGCUGUUUGUCCUGUCUUCCAUCUGCCCGACGCAAGGCCGGCCCGACAAGACUCCGUUCGACUUCAGCAGUGAGAUGACCAUCCGCCCCGAGAACAUUCAUCCACUACACGGACGAGGGAGCGGCGGCGAGGAGGACCAGGACACGUACGACAUCGCUGCUCUGCGCAAACCUGUCCAGCCGAGCAACGAGUCGAGCGUUGAAGGAGCGCCGUACGCGAGGCACGCGCCGGAGCCAGUCAGGCCACUGAGACAAGCGCCACCU